GGCCUAAUGGUCUAGAAGUAUGAUACUCGCUUUGGGUGUUUACCGAUUGCGAGUGGUCCUGGGUUCAAUUCCCAGUUAGGCCC